UACGAGGGGGGGCAAGCGUUGUUCGGAAUUAUUGGGCGUAAAGGGUGCGUAGGCGGUUUGACAAGUCUGAUGUGAAAUCUAUGGGGCUCAACCCAUAGUCUGCAUCGGAAACUGUCGGGCUUGAGUAUGGGAGAGGUGAGUGGAACUGCGAGUGUAGAGGUGAAAUUCGUAGAUAUUCGCAAGAACACCAGUGGCGAAGGCGGCUCACUGGCCCGAUACUGACGCUGAGGUGCGAAAGCGUGGGGAGCAAACAGG
rnacentral:rRNA from 1 species